AAUUUCAUCACUACCCCUCUCAAAUAUGUAAAUAUCGUAGAUACCCCUGCAAAGUUGAAAAUAUCAUAUAUACCUCUUCAAAUGCAAAAAAAAUUCACAAUUACCCUUCCUUCUAACGGCUGUAAAUAUAACCAUGGUUAAAGUUUGGUUAAAUAAAGGUUGAGUUCCAAAAUAACUAAUUUAGCCCUAAAAAGGUUAGGUGUUAUUUUGAUAGCAAAUAAUUAAGGGGCAAUUUCAUAAGUACCCUUCUAAAUUUUAAAAAUAACAUCUCUAGCACUAAUUAUUAGUGCGUAAAAAAUAAAAAAAUCCCUCACCUAUAGAUAAUUUUGAACUAGACCCCUUUAAAUUUUAUUUUUUAACAUUAAGAGACCUUGAACUAUUAGUUUUUCUUUAUUUUGACUUUACUUAGUUAAAAGUUUUUUAAUUGAGAUUCCUCACAUGAAUUUAAUAAAAUUUUUACUUUUGCUGGGAAAAACACUCAAUUGCUAAAAUUAAAAAAAAAAACACUUAGGUUGAGAGGUUAUAUAUAUAGAGAGUUUUGUUAUAAUACUAUCGGUAGUACAGCUUGGUUUACUACGAUUUGUUUUCAAUGAUAGAACAUCCAAAUUGACAAUCGGCACCGUUAAAUUGAUAUAAACCAUUUAAACUAUCUGAAAAUUAAAUUUCACGCUUUUCCGAGUUAUGAUCAUGUCAAAGUGGACUAUAGAUAAGAGGGUUUUCAUAAAAUUUUAAUUUAUUGUUAAUAAUAAAUUUUCAAUUAAAAAUUUUUUGUUUGAGCAGAUCAUAUAAGUAAUACUCUAAUAUCGAGAAUUUUGAUAUCAAAAUAUUUUUAGCAUGAGAUAUGUGAGUUAUUUAAAUAAAAUUUUUAAAAUUAAAUAUUUAAAUAGUUAAUGUUGAAUUCUACUAUGGACAAAUUGCAUUAUAACUAUGCAUAAUUUAAAAGCGAAAAAUCAUAAUGAGAUUUAACUAUUACACUUAAUAAACUAUAGAUCUUUAAUUGAAAUAUUUUAAAAAUAAUGUUAAAUUAUUAUGUGAUUCAAAUGUUAAAAAUUGAUCAGAUAAUUAAUCUUGAAUAUUACAUAUUUAAAAUGUUGCUAGGGGUAAAAUUGGUAUUUACAAAAUAUUGGAUGACAACUUGAUGAAAAGCUAAUCUAAAGGGUAUCUGUGAACAUUUUUUGUUUUAAGAGGGGUAUUGAUGAUAUUUUUUAGUUUAAAGGGUUAUUCAUGAAAUUAUGAUUUUUCAGAGGGGUAUUGAUGAAAUUAUUCCUAUAAUUUAUCCUUGU
rnacentral:lncRNA from 1 species